CACUGAUGGGGCGGCAACGGCGAAGACGUGGCAAAAGGUCCUGACUGUGGCCCGUCCAAACAUCCACGGCAUGAGCCAGACCUGCAAAUGCGAUCAC
rnacentral:sRNA from 12 species